GACGAACGCUGGCGGCGUGCUUAACACAUGCAAGUCGAACGGUAAGGCCCCGCCUGUGUGGGGUGCUCGACUGGCGAACGGGUGAGUCAUACGUGAGUAACCUGCCGUUGACUUUGAGGUAUCUUCAGCUAGCUGGGGCUAAUACCGGAUCGGAGCUUCUGCUGCGUGGUGGGGGUUGGAAUGUUUCGCCGGUUGGGGUUGGACGCGCGGCUUAUCUGUUUGUUGGUUGGGGAGUGGCUUACCAAGCCUUUGACGGAUGGCCCGCCUGAGAGGGUGGCCGGCCACAUUGGGACUGAGAUAGGGCCCAGCCUGCUACGGGAGGCAGGAGGGGGGAGUAUGGCACAAUGGGCGGAAGCAAGAUGCAGCAACGCCGGGUGCGUGAGGACGGCCUGCGGGUGGUAAACCGCUUUCGCCUGAGACGGAGCGUGAGUGACGGUAAUGGGAGAAGAAGCACCGGCUAACUACGUG
rnacentral:rRNA from 1 species